GACAGACAUCAAGACCAGGACGCUGAGGAAGGCCACUGAAGCCACCAGGAGGAGUCCUGAGGCUUUUACUAUGUAGUCCUGGCUAGCCUAGAGCUCCAUACGUAGACCACAGAGAUCCACCUGUGUCUGCCCUGGGUGCUGGGAUUAUAGGCCUAUACUACCACACCCAACCCUUGAGAGUCUUUCAAUGAAGAGGAUCCUGAAUUUAAGGAUGCGAGAAGUGGAGACUCCAGGGCUACCGGUUAUGGAUCUUGAGGCAAGAAUGGCUGUGGAUGGGGAGUGCCUGGGAGGAACACACCGAAACUGCAGGAGGAUCUUGGAGUCAGCACCUGUGCCCAGACGCAUGGAUGACAGAGCAGAAACUGAGGUCACGUGGGAGAGACACAGGCACAUGAACCAGGAAUCAGUGCCUGCAGUCACCUGGCAGAGACAUGUGAGAACAGCAGCAAGCAUCUCAGGCAGGCUUCCAGAGUGCGUGAGUGAGCAGGGGCUUUGGGAAAUCUCUCUUUGAUGGCUCUAGUCUCCCUUUCUGGCUUAGUGAUUAAGAGCAGGACCACAGCAUAGAACGGAACCCUAAUGGGGGGCAGAUACCAACCCCUGGGCAAUUCAACCAGUCUCCCUGAGAUCUUGUCUGUUGUGUGUCCUUGAAGAGCCGACUUCAUUUACAAACUGAACUUUAUGGGCCCAAGGACUGAGCACAUCUUCCUCCUGAUAGUAAUGGUUGAAUAAAUGCAUAAAGUCAA
rnacentral:lncRNA from 1 species